CAUUUGUCUUUUAAAUGAAGACUUGUAUGAACGGCAAAACCUCCUCCAACUGUCUCCCCUCCCAUCCUUCCAAAUUUCCUCCUGUGUGAAGAAGCGCAGAUACACCAGAAAGACGAGAAGACCCUGUCGAGCUUUAACCACUAAGUGGGCCUUACCCUUUCAGGCACCACCCAAAGGUUUUGGUUGGGGCAACCACGGAGAAAAAACAUCCUCCAGAACGAAUAGAAGAAAGCUUUUCACUAUUAUUACGAUUAAGAACCAGGAACUGGUAUUCGGAAAGAGUUACCGCAGGGAUAACAGCGUCAUCUCCUCUAAGAGUCCUUAUUGACGAGGAGGUUUGCGACCUCGAUGUUGGAUUGGGGCCCCCUUAGGGUGCAGAAGCUCUAAACGGUUAGACUGUUCGUCUAUUAAAGCCCUACAUGAUCUGAGUUCNAAACCGGAGAU
rnacentral:rRNA from 1 species